rnacentral:rRNA from 1 species
UUCAGAAGAUGUGGUUCGCGGCCAAUCAGCUUGUUGGGGGGGUGAUGGCCUACCAAGGCCACCACGGGUAGCCGGCCUGAGAGGGCGACCGGCCACACUGGGAUUGAGACACGGCCCAGAACUCCUACGGGAGGCAGCAGUGGGGAAUAUUGCACAAUGGGCGAAAGCCUGAUGCAGCGACGCCGCGUGAGGGAUGAAGGCCUUCGGGUUGUAAACCUCUUUCAGCAGGGAAGAAGCGCAAAUGAAAGUACCUGCAGAAGAAGCGCCGGCUAACUACGUGCCAGCAGCCGCGGUAAUACGUAGGGCGCAAGCGUUGUCCGGAAUUAUUGGGCGUAAAGAGCUCGUAGGCGGUUUGUCGCGUCUGGUGUGAAAACUCGAGGCUCAACCUCGAGCUUGCAUCGGGUACGGGCAGACUAGAGUNCGGUAGGGGAGGCUGGAAUUCCUGGUGUAGCUGUGGAAUGCGCAGAUAUCU